rnacentral:rRNA from 1 species
CGGACGGGUGAGUAACGCGUGGGUAACCUGCCUCACACUGGGGGAUAACAGUUAGAAAUAGCUGCUAAUACCGCAUAAGCGCACGGUUCCGCAUGGAACAGUGUGAAAAACUCCGGUGGUGUGAGAUGGACCCGCGUCUGAUUAGCCAGUUGGCGGGGUAACGGCCCACCAAAGCGACGAUCAGUAGCCGACCUGAGAGGGUGACCGGCCACAUUGGGACUGAGACACGGCCCAA